UGUGUAGAUGACUUCAAAGAUAGAUGGAGUAACGAAGUGCGAACAAUGCCAAAACUGAGAACGUAUAAAACUUUUAAGUCCGAAUUCUCAACGGAACCAUAUGUAUAAAGACAUUUAUCAAGGGUGCAACGUUCAGCACUUGCAAAGAUUCGUUCUGGAACUUUUCCACUAGAAAUUGAACAAGGUCGUUACAGAAACAUUCCAC
rnacentral:lncRNA from 1 species